rnacentral:lncRNA from 1 species
AGGCUACAGGAAAUAUAAAGCACUGUGUUACCCUUCCAGAGAGUUCUCACUCAGUCUCAGAGGGCAAAGUUUGCAUCCCAAAUGGCACCCUAUUCCCUAAAGACCCUGGUCAAAAGUAGUGCACUAUAUGGGAAAGGGUGCCAUUUGGGACGCAUUGACGUUAAGAUUGUUAUCUGUUGGCCAGCAGGGUGGGCAGAUACCCCCUGAGGUCUGGUCCUCCUACCCUCCUGAUGUCUGGUCCUCCUACCCUCCUGAUGUCUGGUCCUCCUACCCCCCUGAUGUCUGGUUCUCCUACCCUGCUUCCCUGCGUCCCGUGCCUCAACUUAUGAGGUUUUAUUAUAGUCAAAGACCUUUAUAUCCCCACAAUCACACUCUGUUUAUUCUAGGGCUGAGGCAUGCCUUUCCCUUUAUAUCCCCACAAUCACACUCUGUUUAUUCUAGGGCUGAGGCAUGCUUUUCCCUUUAGUCCAUACAAUCACACCUCUGUUAUUCUAGGGCUGGGGAUGCCUUUCCCUUUAUGUCCCACAUCACACUCUGUUAUUCUGGCUGGGCGCUGCCUUUCCCUUUAUAUCUCACAAUCACACUCUGUUUAUUCUA